rnacentral:rRNA from 1 species
UGGGGAAUUUUGGACAAUGGACGCAAGUCUGAUCCAGCCAUGCCGCGUGCGGGAAGAAGGCCUUCGGGUUGUAAACCGCUUUUGUCAGGGAAGAAACGAGUUUCUCUAAUACAGAGACUUAAUGACGGUACCUGAAGAAUAAGCACCGGCUAACUACGUGCCAGCAGCCGCGGUAAUACGUAGGGUGCAAGCGUUAAUCGGAAUUACUGGGCGUAAAGCGUGCGCAGGCGGUUAUGCAAGACAGAUGUGAAAUCCCCGGGCUCAACCUGGGAACUGCAUUUGUGACUGUAUAGCUAGAGUACGGCAGAGGGGGAUGGAAUUCCGCGUGUAGCAGUGAAAUGCGUAGAUAUGGGGAGGAACACCGAUGGCGAAGGCAAUCCCCUGGGACUGCACUGACGCUCAUGCACGAAAGCGUGGGGAGCAAACA